GGAUGUGAGGGUGAUCUGGCUGCGACAUCUGUCACCCCAUUGAUCGCCAGGGUUGAUUCAACUGAUCUGGCUGGCUAGGCAGAUGUCCCCUUCCUCCCUCACCACUCCAUGUUCAUCCCUCCCAAAGCUGCAUGCUCAGUCGAAGAGGAUGGCCUUCCCCGAAUAGAGACGGACCAGUCUUUGGUCGAGGGUAUAUGAGUAGCUGCACUCCCCUGCUAGAACCUCCAAACAAGUUCUCAAGAAUACUGUAUCCCGCUAGACUGUCAUUCAGACUAGAUGGAGGCAUAAAAAUCUUCUUAGACAAGCAACAGUUGAAAUAAUCAACUAU
ensembl:misc_RNA 7SK 7SK RNA